GGGUGAGUAAUGCCUGGGAAAUUGCCCAGUCGAGGGGGAUAACAGUUGGAAACGACUGCUAAUACCGCAUACGCCCUACGGGGGAAAGCAGGGGACCUUCGGGCCUUGCGCGAUUGGAUAUGCCCAGGUGGGAUUAGCUAGUUGGUGAGGUAAUGGCUCACCAAGGCGACGAUCCCUAGCUGGUCUGAGAGGAUGAUCAGCCACACUGGAACUGAGACACGGUCCAGACUCCUACGGGAGGCAGCAGUGGGGAAUAUUGCACAAUGGGGGAAACCCUGAUGCAGCCAUGCCGCGUGUGUGAAGAAGGCCUUCGGGUUGUAAAGCACUUUCAGCGAGGAGGAAAGGUUGUUGGCUAAUAUCCAACAGCUGUGACGUUACUCGCAGAAGAAGCACCGGCUAACUCCGUGCCAGCAGCCGCGGUAAUACGGA
rnacentral:rRNA from 1 species